rnacentral:rRNA from 1 species
GACGGGGGAUGCAAGUGUUAUCCGGAAUCACUGGGCGUAAAGCGUCUGCAGGUGGUUUCCUAAGUCCACUGUUAAACCUUGAGGCUCAACCUCAAAUCUGCAUUGGAAACUAGGAGACUUGAGUAUAGUAGGGGUAGAGGGAAUUUCCAGUGGAGCGGUGAAAUGCGUAGAUAUUCGCAAGAACACCAGUGGCGAAGGCGGCUCACUGGCCCGAUACUGACACUGAGGUGCGAAAGCGUGGGGAGCAAACAGG